rnacentral:rRNA from 1 species
GCAAGGCCGAUUGUGUGGUGGUUAGGUUUCCGGUGAUCUGAUCGUUUGUGAAGCAACCUCCGAUCAAGUAUAGGAGACCGAUAGCAGGAGAAGAGCGUGAAGAGCCCUGACACGGUUCAGAAGGUACGUGGCGGGCUAUGGCCCCAUCAGACCGAACGGACUGUCCUUAUGGCCGCACUGCGGCUCUGGUCUUUCCGUUAGACCUAACCGCUUCACAUCUUCUUGUUUUUAUCCGGACCUUUCUCUUCUUUCUGAUUAUGUACGAAGGGUUGUGUUGGUUCAGUCCAAGGGACACGUCCCUAGACUUGGCCGGUCAUAACCAAACCGCUAACCUAGACACUGGUCGGUUAGACGGUUGGUUCGAAUCGCACCAUGUACUGGGCAGUUGGGCUAAACGGUUGGCCAUGUCCCAAAAGGCACGAGUUGCCAAAGGUCACGAGUUACCAAGGUUGUGAGUUUCCAAGGGUCACGAGUUACCAAAGGUUGUGAGUUGCCAAAGGGUGUAAGUAACCAAGGGUUACGAACAUCAAGAGGUACGAGAACCAAGAGGUAUGGGGACCAAGAGGUACGAGGACCAAGAGGUACCAAGGACCGAAGGGGUGCAUGUUCCAAACGGUGCCUGUUGAGACAGGUCGUGUUUGUUCCUUAGGGAUCAGUCCAUGUCUUGUCCGUUUAAGACAAGUACACGAUUCAUCUAAGCCAGGGUAGGAGUCGCAAGGUCUGGUCGGUCGCUUAUCCUACUGGAUUGGGCUUGAGGCUUACUCGGCCGUUGGAUCCAGGCCCAAGGCCGGAUCAGGUAAGGAAGUCUGUUGAUUAAGCCGGACUUCAACUAGGCCGGUCGCACCUAGAUUCCAUUCGGUUAGACGGAUUGGUCUUCGGGACCAUCCAGACUGUUCGUGUGUUUUGUUUAUCUAUUUUGGAAUGUCUAUCCGAUUCUAAGUCAAGGGGUCGUUGGGUUGAAUGACUUAGGAUACGGUAGGAAAGUUCAUAUCUUUAUUUGAUGAUGUUGAUUGAGGUUUACCUAUGUUCUAGGAACCAAGCCAAGCAUUGUAGAAUCGACCCGUCUUAUUCUUGGUUAUGAUUAAUGCUUAUCAGGUUGUGGUUUCAGGAACUUAGGAUGGUUCUGGUCAAGCCAAGGAGCCGUGAAGGCUUGGUCAGUGAAAGGCUGUGUAACGUGUGGAUAGAUGAUGCAUGGGAUGAACUAGUGAUUGUCUAUGAAACGAUUAAGAAGUUGUGUGUUGGAUCUCAUGUUUCUAAGUAAUACAUUUUUAUACACAUUUAUAUUCCGCCGUGCUAUCUGUUCAAUUGUUUUAGAACCUCAGAUUCGAACAUGACUUAGUAAAUAAAAGACUUAAAAUGAAUCAAACAAGCAAAGAAAUUGAUUAAGUAGCAAGCGGGUCUAGUUUCGUCGAGAGGCCGGAUUCGGGCGUUACAGGAAUUCCGAAAAGAAUUAUCUUUUCUGUUUAACAGCCUGCCCACCCUGGAAACGGCUCAGACGGAGGUAGGGUCCAGCGGCUGGAAGAGCUCCGCACGUCGCGUGGUGACUGGUGCAUUCCCGGCGGCCCUUGAAAAUCCUGAGGACCGAGUGCCGCUCACGCCCAGUCGUACUCAUAUCCGCAUCAGGUCUCCAAGGUGAACAGCCUCUGGUCGAUAGAACAAUGUAGGAAAGGGAAGUCGGCAACAUGGAUCCGUAACUUCGGGAAAAGGAUUGGCUCUGAGGGCUGGGCUCGGGUGUCCCAGUUCUGAACCCGUCGACUGUUGGCAGGCUGCUUAAGCCGCUAACAUGGCGAGAGCGGACUGCCUCGUGUCGGCCGGGGGACGGACUGGGAAUGGCUCUUUUGGGAUCUUUCCCAGGGCGUCGAACAGCCAACUCAGAACUGGUACGGACAAGGGCAAUCCGACUGUUUAAUUAAAACAAAGCAUUGCGAUGGUCCCUGCGGAUGCUAACGCAUUGUGAUUUCUGCCUAGUGCUCUGAAUGUCAAAGUGAAGAAAUUCAACCAAGCGCGGGUAAACGGCAGGAGUAACUAUGACUCUCUUAAGGUAGCCAAAUGCCUCGUCAUCUAAUUAGUGACACACAUGAAUGGAUUAAAGAGAUUCCCACUGUCCCUGUCUACUAUCCAGCAAAACCAAAGCCAAGGGAACGUGCUUGGCAGAAUCAGCGGGGAAAGAAGACCUUGUUGAGCUUGACUCUAGUCCGACUUUGUAAGAUGACUUGAGAGGUGUAGAAUAAGUGGGAUCUCUGGCGCAAGUGAAAUACAACUACUUUUAACGUUAUUUUAAUUACUCCGUGAAUCGGAGGCAGGGUAACAACCCCUUCUUUUAGACCCAAGACUCGCUUCGGCGGGUCAAUCAGGGCGGAGGACAUUGUCAGGUGGGGAGUUUGGCUGGGGUGGCACAUCUGUUAUAAGAUAACGCAGGUGUCCUAAGAUGAGCUCAACGAGAACAGAAAUCUCGUGUGGAACAAAAGGGUAAAUGCUCGUUUGAUUCUGAUUUUCAGUACGAAUGCGAACUGUGAAAGCGUGGCCUAUCGAUCCUUUAGACCUUUGUGGCAGCCAAGCGUUCAUAGCGACGUUGCUUUUUGAUCCUUCGAUGUCGGCUCUUCCUAUCAUUGUGAAGCAGAAUUGUUGUAGGCACGGACUGGAGGAUAGGCGCGGUCCUGUCCCGGUAUGAACGGAUGGUCUCAAAGGCCGGCUUCUCGUCUAGGGCUUCUUGGCCGCGGCUUGUACCUGAAACGAAUAAGAACUUUUUAUGAGUUUUAGAUUUAAGGUGAUCUGGAAACAAUGAACAAAAUACAGAAAUGAUUUUUAUCAGGUUUUUCUUUUAAGAUUCA